GGGAGGGUGGGAGAGGGGCAUUCACUAAUUAGAUAGUAGGUAGUUUUAAGAGCUACUUUAGGUGAAGGAAAAGACAGCACACCGUACAGGGGAGGUCAGCACAGUUGGACUAAACCAAAAGCAAAGAAGUUUCCUGAAUAAACUGAAUGCUUCGAAGGCCAGCGUAGCAGGGGCAGGGAUCUGGGGACCAUGGUUUCAGGGGACAUCUAAGUCAAUUGGCAUAAUAAAAUCAAUUAACAAAACGUUCUGCAUCCCACUUUUAAGGGUGGUGUCUGAGGUCUUAAACACUAGCAAGCGGCCAUCCAAGAUGCAUCAAUUGGUCUCAGCCCACCUGGAUCAAAGGAGAAUGAAGAACACCAAGGACACAAGGUGAUUACGAGACCAAGAGACAGAAAGGGCCACAUGAACCAGAGACUACAUUAGCCUGAGACCAGAAGAACUAGAUGGUGCCAGGCUACAACCGAUGACUGCCCUGACAGGGAACACAACCGAGAACCCCUGAGGGAGCAGGAGAGCAGUGGGAUGCAGACCCCAAAUUCUGAAAAGACCAGACUUAAUGGUCUGACUGAGACUGGAAGGACCCUGGAGGUCAUGGCUCCCAGACCUUCUGUUGUCCCAGGACAGAAACCAUUCCUGAAGCCAACUCUUCAGAUAUGGAUUGGACUGGACAAUGGGUUGGAGAGGGUUGCUGGUGAGGAGUGAGCUUCUUGGAUUAGGUGGACACUUGAGACUAUGUUGACAUCUCCUGCCUGGAGGGGAGAUGAGAGGGUGGAGGGGGUUAGAAGCUGGCGAAGAGGACACGAAAAGAGAGAGUGGAGGGAGAGAGUAGGCUGUCUCAUUAGGGGGAGAGUAAUUGGGAGUGUGUAGCAAGGUGUGUAUGGGUUUUUGUGUGAGAGACUGACUUGAUUUGUAAACUUUCACUUAAAGCAAAAUAAAAAUUAUUUUUUAAAAAAGGAUCAAAAACCACAGGCUUUCAUAUGGAUUACACCUCAACAUAAAACAAAAAUCACAACUCGACCAAUAAGGAACAAUCAUGAUAAACAGAAAAUAUUGUACUUGUCAAGGAUUUCAUUUCACUUGGAUCCAUAAUCAACACCCAUGAAAGCAGCAAUAGGGAAAUCAAAGGACAUAUUGCAUUGGGUGAAUCUGCUGCCAAAGACCUCUUCAAAGUGUUAUAAAGCAAAGCUGUGACUUUAAGGACUAAAGUUCACCUGAUGCGAGCUAUGAUGUUUUCUAUUGCCUCAUAUGCAUGUGAAAGCUGGACAGUGAAUAAGGAAGACAGAAGAAGAAUUGAUAUCUUUGAAUUAUGGCGUUGGUGAAGAAUAUUGAAUAUAGCAUAUAGAAUGGACUGCCAGAAGAACGAACAAAUCUGCCUUAGAAGAGCUACAGCCAGAAUGCUCAUUUGAAGUAAGAAUGGCGACACUUUGUCUCACAUUCUUUGGACAUGUUAUCAGGAGGGACCAGUCGCUGGAGAAGGAUAUCAUGCUUGCUAAAGUAGAGGGUCGGGGAAAGAGAGGAAGACCCUCGAUGAGAUGGAGUGACACAUUGGCUGCAGCAAUGGGCUCAAGCAUAACAACCAUCAUGAGGGUGGCCCAGAACUGGGCAGCGUUUCAUUCUGUUGUACAUAGGGUAGCUGUGAGUCAGAACUGACUGGACGGCACCUAACAACAACAACCACAACAAGACAGAGACAAAAAUCAUCCAUAGGGCAAAAGAGAAAUGAAGCUGUGUGCUCAAAGCAGCAGCAUGAUGUAGGAGAAACACUCUUGGGUCAUGAGGAAGCCUAGGCAUUCCUGAAAUCUCAAGCGAGCGAAGCCAGGCUACUCCCUAGGCUGGGCCCUUUUCCCCUUGGAGAAGCCAGGGUAGGUGACUGGAACACUGAACGCCCUCUGUAUACUCAGACAGGUGACGCAGACAUCACAAAGGGCUCCAGACCAUUAGUAAAGCAGAAAAACUAAACCCAGUGCCGUCCAGUCGAUUCCGACUCAUAGCGACCCUAGAGGACAGAGUAGAACCGCCCCAUAGGGGUUCUGAGGAGUGCCUGGUGGAUUCAAACUGCCGACCUUUUGGUUAGCAGCCGUAGCUCUUAACCACUAUGCUACCAGGGUUUCCAGACCAUUAGUAGACCAUUGAUAGACUGUCCUUUUUCCUGAUAAGAGCUCCGGGGAGCCCUCACAUGGAGCCAGGUGGCUCUGCGUGGGGUGAGACUUGGCUUGGACACUUAGUGGCAUGAGGCACAUGGGAGCUGGGCCAGAGCAUUUAAACCUCCACAGCAGGAGUGAUGCCUUGCUGGAGGUCCCCUGCACAGACACUGCCCUGCUGGCUGUAAGGAGUGACUCGUUCUGGAUAGUCAGAUUCUGUGGACAAUUCAGAGUUUACCUCUUUUAAGCACCUUUUUAUUUUAUCUGAACUAUUUUGAAUUUGAAAAAAAAAAAUCCUUUUUGUGAUGACUGAGGCCUUCUCCCAAAGGACAGGUGUGAGGCCUCUUUUCUUGAUACUAGCACCUAUAGAGUUGCUAUGAGUCGGAACCCACUCAAUGGCACCUAACAUCAGCAACAACAAUGGUUAAGGAGCUGUACCCGUGUGACAAACACAAGUUCAGGGGCACCCUUGACAAGGUCAGCACUCAGCAUCCCCAGGUUUCAGGGCCCUUGGGAGUGUGCAAGUUUGAAGCCUCACACACAAUUCUUUUAUCCUCUCCUGGUGCCCUAUAGCUGGUGGAGGUGAGAGGACUCUGACCUGGCCUUCUGGGGCAUUCAGGCCUGGGGACGGCAGCCUUCCCAGCCAUUGACACCUGUGGGGACUCAAGACCAAAGAAGCAUUGACGCCUUUGAAUCGUGGUGUUGGCGAAGAAUAUUGAAUAUACCACGGACUGCCAAAAGAAUGAACAAAUCUGUCUUGGAAGAAGUACAACCAGAAUGCUCCUUAGAAGCAAGGAUGGCAAGACUAUGUCUCACAUAGUUCGGACAUGUUGUCAGGAUGGACAAGUCCCUGGAGAAGGACAUCAUGCUUGGUAAAGUAGAAGGUCAGCAAAAAACAGGAAGACCCUAAACGAGAUGGAUUGAUACAGUGGCUGCAACAAUGGGCCCAAGCACAGCAACAAUUGUGAGGAUGGCACAGGACUGGGCAGUGUUUCGUUCUGCUGUGCGUAGGGUUGCUGUGAGUCGGAACUGACUUGAUGGCACCUAACAACAACAACAUAGUGUCUUUUUGUCAUACAGGUGUUUUAAAUUUACUUUUAAAGUCUGUAUCUUGUUUAAGAAGGUUUUAUUUUUUCUAGAAUCUAAACAUUCUUGUGAUUCUUCUAAUGUGUAUUGUCUUUUUCAAUUGGCACUUAAAUACAUCUGGAUUUAAUUUUUAUAAAUAGUAUUGCCUCAGUGAUCUAGUGCAGCUGUAACAAAAAAUACCACCCAUGGGUGCUUUAAAGAACAGGAAUUUAUUUUUUGACAGUUUAGGGAGCUAGAAGUUCGGAUUCUUGGCAUGACUGUAAGGGGAGGACCUUCCUUGUCAGUAGUCCUUCGAGUUCCUUGGCGUUCUUGGCCCCGUGUGUCUCGGUGUCUAUUCUGUUCUUUUUAUAACCAAGAAGUGAUUGGGUUUAGUUCUCACCUGGCUUAGGUACAACCUAAUUAACAUCACAAAGAAAACCCUAUUUCCAAACAGGAGUAUAUCCACAGGUAUACAGGCUACGACUUCAAUGCUCCAGAACUUCAAUUUUGGAGACACAGCUCAAUCCAUAACAGGUAUGAAGUAGGAAUAUAACUGUGAAAAUGGCACGGCGGGGCUUCUGACCUCUUGUAACUUCACAAGGGGGGAAGAAGAAUCAAGAUCAACAGCUCAAGGCUGAUUCCUAUGAGGCAGAGGUCAGACAUGCCUCCUCUCUGUGCCGUCUUUACCAGUUCUGACACCUCGCAUCCCUCCCACAGCAGUCUCUACUUCUUUGCUGGGUUUGAUAAUUCAUUGCAAGGGCCACACAGAACUCACAGACAAUACUGACGAUUAUGGGGUUUAUUAGGGAAGUAACAGUUUACAAUUCAGGAUCAGGAAUGACUCAGGCUGUAGUACUUUGAUGAGGACAGCUUCUUCUCAGCCAUGCCCACAGGCAGCCAUGCCCAGAGGCCCUUGGUCUCUUGGUCCCUCAGCCCCUGCUGUGUCCUAGCAAGUGUUACAAAUGCUUUUUCUCUACCAGUAAGUGCCUGGAGGCACCCUACCCUGCCAGGAAGUCUUGGCCCAAAGGCAUCUAGCUCUCUCACUUACUUCCUGGGUCCCAAGCCUAGCUCUACCAGGUACCUGGAGGCACUCCACUUCCCAGCAAGCCUCUUGCCUGAAUGCUCAGUUCUCUUCUCUGUGGGCUGGCACAAGCACUGCAGUUACCUUACUCGGUGGGCUGGGCCCCCCUUGCCAUCUGUGACAGCCUCCUAGUUCUGUUGCGCAGUUUCUCUGCUGCAGCAUCUCACUGUCUCUGGUGUUACCACUCUCCAUCUCCUGGGUCUAGGAGGCUCUCAGUGCGGGGACCCUGGGUCCAAAGGACGCACUCCACUCCCAGCUCUUUUUCUUGGUGGUAGUGAGGCCUUCCCCUUCUGCCUCUGGGAUGACUAAUUCUAAGCCUAGCAGGAUGGCAAAAUUGACCAAUCCCCUCGUUAGGGCUCAAUAUACCUUAUCUGUAUGGUCCACCUCCCCACAAGGGUGCCAUGCACCUUAUAUGCAUUAUUAGCAAGCUGUCCAAUCCCCUUUGGUGGGCCAUAAGCACCUUAUUUGCAUAGUCCCACCCAGUCAUUUGGUGGGAGUUACAAGACCAUGAUAAGAAAGGCUAUAUAAAAGCAAGCCAUCACACCUCAGCAACUCAAAUAUUUUUCCCCAAAAGAUAGUUGUUCCCCAUUGAUGAAUAGGCCAGCCUUUCCCCAGUGACUUGGGAUGCUACAUUUUACUAUGUAUCCAACUACCACAGGUCUGUUUUUUAGCCUCUAGCCUGUUCUAUUGGCCUAUUUUUCUAUUGUGUGUAUUCUACAGUAUUUUAAUUACUGUAUUUUAGCUUUUAACAUUGUAUAAGCCAGAUUCCUUUUUUUUUUUUUUUUUAGUUUUCUGGGCGAUUUAUCUGUAUUUACACAUUAUUUUAGAAUGAAGAGCUUCUUUGCCUUCUCAUCUAGGAAUAUGAGAUAGUUGUCCUUUUAUUCAUGUUUUCUUUAUCCCUUCAGUAAAGUCUAAUAGUUUUCUUUCUAUAAGUUUUGCAUUUCUAUUAGGUUUAUUCCUGGUUAUAUUACAGCUUUUAUUCCCAUUUUAAAAGAGCUAUUAAUUUUAGUAUGUUUUUGUAUCUGACAAUCUUGCUGGAUGCUUUUAGUUCAGUACUUUGUCGGUGGAUUCCCUUGCACAUUCUAGGCUCACAAUCAUUAACAAAUGAGAGUUUUCCCUUCCUUUUAAAUAUAUAUAUAUUUAUAUACACACAUAUACACACACACACUCACACACACAAGCCCAGGAGCUUCAGAAGCUGAAAGAGACAAGAAAGGGCCUUCUCCCAGAACCAACAGAGACAGAACAUAGCCCUGCUGAUGCCCUGGAUUUGGACGUCUAGCCCCCAGAACUGUGACAAAAUGAAUUUCUGUUCUUUAAAGCCACUGAUUUUGUGGUAUUUUAUGGCAACUUGUCUUAGUUGGGUUCUGUAGAGGAGCAAAACCAGUUGGACUGCUGUAUAUAAAUAUAGAAAGAUUUACUUCAAGGAAUGGCUCAUUCAAUCGUGGAGGUUGGGAAGCCCCAAAUCCACAGGUCAGGUAGGAGGCUAGAAACCUCUGCUGGGUUAUGGGAUUGCGGGGGCUGGCGAAUCCAAAACCUUUAGGUCAGAUGGCAGGCCAGAGACUUCUACAGGCUUAUGUCCCAGGAUCCAAAGGUUAGGACUGAGAAGAAUGCAGGGUUAAGAGAGAGAGAGCUCUGCCAGAAUGUCCAUAUAUAUUCUGUUGUAGGCCACACCCCCACAGAAACUCCCCUUUCAACUGAUGGUUCAUCAUGUCACAUCAGCAAGUCCAGUGACUGGCCAAACCACUGCAAAUCAUAGCCAAGUCAAGUUGACACAUGAAACUAACCAUCACACAGCCCUAGGAAACUGAGACAGACUUUUGUGCUGAAUCUUGGGGUGUUGCUCUAACAGAUACCUAAAAAUGUGGAAGUGGGUUUGGAAUUGGGUGAUGAGUAGAGGCUGGAAAUAUUUUGAGGUGCUUAACAGUAAAAACCUAGAUUGCCUUGAAGAGGCUGUUGGUAGAAUUAUGGACAUUAAGAGCAAUUCUGAUGAAGGCUCAGAAAGAAACGAGAGCUGUGGGGAAAACUUGUCAUUAGCAAAAUGUUUCUAUAAAUGUGAACGUUAAAUGUGCUUCUGGUGAAGUCUUAAAAGGAAAUGAUUAACAUGUCAUUGGACACUAGAGGAAAGGUGAUACUUGUUAUAAAGUGACAAAGAACUUGGCUAAACUAUGUUUGUUUUGUGAAAAAUAGAACUUUUAAGUGAUGAACAUGGUUAUUUAGCUGAAGAGGUUUCUAAGCAUCAUCUUCAAGAUGGAGCCUGGUUUCUCCUUGCUGCUUAUAGUAAGAUGCAGGCGGAAAGAGAUAAAUUAGGGAAUAAGCUGUGAAAAAAAGAACCAGAACUUGAAGAUUUGGAAAAUUCUGUUGUAAAAUUUUAGAAAGUAUGCCCUGGAGAUGACACCAAGAGUGUGACUGAACACUUAUUUGCUAAAGAAAUUAGGCUUGUGACCUUGUAAAAAUGGCAUGGGGGCGGUGUCUGACCUCCUAUAACUUCACAAGGAGGGGAAGGAGAAUCAAGAUCAAUAGCCCAAGGCUGCUUCCUAUGAGGUAGAGGUCAGACAUGCCUCCUCUCUCUGCCAUCCUUACCAAUUCUGACACAUCCUGUCCCUCCCACAGCAGUAUCUACUUCUCUGCUGGGUUUGAUAAUUCAUUGCAAGGGCCACACAGAACUCACAGACAAUAUUUACAAUUAUGUGGGUUAUUAGGGAAGUAAUAGGUUACGAUUCAGGCUCGGGAACACUCCAGAUACAGUUCUUCCAUCAGGACAGCCUCUUUACAGCUGUGCUCGCAGGCACGCCUCUUUGUGGUUCUAGGCCUCUGUUCUGCUCAGGCAAAUGUUACAAAGUUCUUUUAGCCCCUGCCAAUAAGUGCCCACCAGUAAGUAAGCCUUGGCCCAAAGGCACUCAGCUUUCUUAGUCAGUGGGCCAGGAAGCGCACUGCAUGGACUCCAGCCGGUCUCCUGCUGCUGUUUCUCUGCCACCACUUCUCCCCAUCUUCAGGGCUACAGCUCACUGUCUGUCUCCUGGGUCCAGGAGCUUCUCAGCACAGGGAUCCGGGGUCGAAAAUGAUGCGCUGUCCACUCCUGGCUGUUCUUCCUUGGUGGUGGCAGGAACCUCUCUCUGCUCUGGAAUUGGCUCUCUUUUAAGGCAAAAUUGACCAAUUCCCUUGGUGGGCCACAGUCCCACCUAAUCACUUGGGUGGGAGUUCCAAGACCAUGGUGAAAAAGGCCACACGAAAGUAAUUGAUUGCAUCACAGACCUAUAUAUACAAUCAUCCAUCUCAGCAGAAAUGUUCCCAGUUUAGACUAAAGGGGACAGAGAAGUGACCAAAGGAAAGAAACUGAUUCCUGGAAUUCUACUGGUAGGAAGUGGGAGGAUGGAGCUACUUGAUUGUAAAAAUAAGUUGUCCUUCGAGAAAUGGAAAGGACAAUUCCAGGAGCAGUUCAAAGAUCAGCAGGACUCUCUGCACAAGUACGGGGGUAGCGUCACUGUUCCAUUGGACCAAGAGAAUGAGGCUUCCCAGAGCCGAAGGGCUACCACCUAGAUGUGCCUGGGUGACAGAGGAUUAUUUUCAAGCCUUGGGAUCUAAUGGAAUUUGCCCCUGCUGAAUUUCAGACUUCCUCGGCACCCAUCGUCCCAUCUUUCUCUCCAAUUUCUCUGUUUUGGAAUGGUUGGAAUGCCUUCCCAACCAUUGUACUUUGGAAGCCAACCCACCCACUCCUGUCAAGUCGAUUCCAAAUCAUAACGACAGAGUAGGACAGAGUAGAACUGCCCCAUAGAGUUUCCAAGGAGCACCUGGUGGAUUUGAACUGCUGACUUCUUGGUUAGCAGCUGUAGCACUUAACCACUAUGCCACCAGGAUUUCCACUUUGGAAGCAGAUAACUUAUAUCUUGGGUUUCACAGGUUCACAGAUGGAGAAGAAUUUAGCCCCAGGAUGGACUAUACCCAGAGUCUCACCUAUACCUGAUUUAGAAGAUGAGAUUUGGGACUUAGAAUUGAUGCUGGAAUGGGUUAGGACUUUUGGGGACACUGGGAUGAGGUGAAUGUAUUCUGCACACGUGAAGGUCAUGAAUUUUGAGGGCCAGAGGGCAGAGUGUUAUGGAUUGAAUUGUGUCUCCCAAAAAGACAUGUUGAGGUCCUAACCCCUGCAUCUGUGAAUGUGAUCUUGUUUAGGGAUAUAUAGAGUUUCUUUUGUUAUCAGUUGGGUCAAACACAGUCAUACUGGAGUACGGUAGGUCUCAGUCAUCAUCCCUUCUGAGUGGUGUCUUAUAAAAAGGGAGGCAUACACAGGGGAAAGACUGCAUGUAAGGAGCCGUCUUCAAGCCAAGGAACAAGAAGAAAUGCCUGUGGAUGCAGAAGCUGAAAGAGAUGAGGAAGGUUUUUCCCCUAGAGCUGACAGUCCUGCUGAUGCCCUGAAUUUGGACUUCUAACCUCCAGAACUGUGAGAAAAUGAAUUUCUGUCCUUUAAAGCCAUCAACUUAUGUGCUAUUUUGUUAUGGCAGCACUAGGAGACUAAGACACCUUGGAAUUUCCUGAGCGAUUGGCGGGUCUUUAUUAUUUAUGGUGGGCCUCUUGGAUAGUUUAUGCCAACUUGAAUAGUUUAUGCCAACGAAGUGACUCUGGUAGUCUUAGGGUGGGGGCGGGCCACACCAGAAAGACCAGUCAUGUGAUUAGAGGGUUGGGACUAUAAGCCAUGUGAUAUCAGCCCAACCUGAGGAGUUGGGAGGUGGGAGGGCUGGAGAUGGAGUUCAAACAUGUAGACAGUGAUUCCGUCAAUCCUGCCUCCAUAAUGAAGCCUCAGUAAAAACUCAUGACACCAACGCUUGAGCGAGCUUCCUGGAUUGGCAGUACUCUUUGAAUAUUGUCAUGGUUUGAUGCCAGGAAGGUGAUGUGUGCCGGGGGGUGACAGAAGCUUUGCAUUUGGGACCUUCCCAGACCUCACCCUAAGCGUUGCUCCCUUUGGCUGGUUUUGAUUUGUCUCCUUUUGCUAAGUAUAGUGCUUUCCUGAGUUCUGAGUCUUCUAGCAGAUUAUCCAGUCUGAAAGUCAGGGAACCCCAGUGUUUGUAGCCAGCUGGUCAGAAGUCAGGGUGUGCUGGGGACCCUGAACUUGCAGUUGAUGUCAGAAGGGAGGCAGUCUUGGGGGACUGUGCCCUCGGACUGUGCAGUGUGGCAGCUCAUGGUACUUCAGUUCUGUUUACUCCCCACCACUUCCUUCCCUCGGCCUCCUCUUCGCCAUCCCAUCAUGCAGUGACUGACAGUCUCAAGCAGUGAGUAAUCUCUCCCCAUCCUCUCUUCCCUUUGC